AUGACUUGGGAAGGUGGUGGUGGGGGUGGCUGUGACUCAGGGCCCAGGGAUCACAUGGGGGUCACUGCUGCCAUCAGCAGUCAGGCAGGGAGAGCAGAAAUGCAAAAAUACAGAUGUGUCUAUUUUUCUAAACUGGGGGGUGGAGGGGUGCCUCCUGAUAGCUUCCAAAGAGCUGACCAUGGAGGGCCCACAGUGCAUCCCACCCCUGCCCAAGAGUCUCUCUCCUUUGGGAUCCCCGGGUUCCCAGAGCUCCGAGGAAACUGAUCCUUCAUGUUUCAAUAGCUGUUGUUGUUUUUCUCUUCUGGGCCGGCCAGGGAAGGGUCGAGCAGACUCCAGGGGGCCUCCAGGGUCAGCUGGACCCCGCUGUGUUGCCCGCAGCCAGCCCUGCGGACAUGAGUGAGGUGGGAUAAUUUCAGGAGGUCCCAGCUUGGGACUGCCCGCCCCUCUGCCCUGGGAACCAGUCCAAGGGGCUGUCAGUUGAAUUUGCCUUUUUGUUGUUGUUGUUGUUUUUGUUGUUUAUUUGUUCUCCUUUUAAGGAAUUAUGAAGCUAAGAAAAGUUUUGUGUUUUGGGGGUUGGUGGACAAAGUUCUAGCUGAUUAAAUAUGGUCUAACUUAUUGAUACUAUUUUUUUUCUUUUAAUGUUGUACUGUGGAGAAAAACUAUUUUGAGCCAUGGGGUUGGUGUUUACAAGAACUUUCCACUUUUGCCAAAAUGUUACAAUUGAAAGGCAUCUGUGUCUUCAGUUUCCUAAUAUUUUCUUAAAAGAUCUAGUGUCCUUUUUGUACACUAAACAGGUGAAUGCUGACUUUUUUCAUUCUCCAAUAAAUUUCACUGAACUGAA